AUGAACGCUAGCGGCAGGCUUAACACAUGCAAGUCGAGGGGCAGCGCGGGGCGGCAACGUCCUGGCGGCGACCGGCGGAAGGGUGCGUAACGCGUGAGCGACAUGCCCGUUGCCCGGGGACAACCGGUGGAAACGCCGACUAAUCCCCGAUGGGACGGAGGCCCUCAUGGGUCUCUGUUGAAAGUUACGGCGGCGACGGAUUGGCUCGCGUCCGAUUAGCUUGUUGGCGGGGUAACGGCCCACCAAGGCUACGAUCGGUAGGGGUUCUGAGAGGAAGGUCCCCCACAAUGGAACUGAGACACGGUCCAUACUCCUACGGGAGGCAGCAGUGAGGAAUAUUGGUCAAUGGGCGGAAGCCUGAACCAGCCAUGCCGCGUGCGGGAAGGAGGCCCUAUGGGCUGUGAACCGCUUUUGCCUGGGGGCAAUAAGGGCGUCGCGCACGUCCGAUGAGAGUACCAGGGGAAUAAGCAUCGGCUAACUCCGUGCCAGCAGCCGCGGUAAUACGGGGGAUGCGAGCGUUAUCCGGAUUCAUUGGGUUUAAAGGGUGCGUAGGCUGUGCGUCAAGUCAGGGGUGAAAUUCCGGGGCUCAACUCCGGGGCUGCCCUUGAUACUGUCGCGCUGGAGUGCGGAUGCCGCCGGA
rnacentral:rRNA from 1 species